rnacentral:rRNA from 1 species
CCCUUAGAUGUCCUGGGCCGCACGCGCGCUACACUGAGUGUCUGAGAUACGAGUCUGCCUGGUCCGGCAAGGUCUAGGUAAUCGCUAAAAGACACCUCAUGCUUGGGAUAGAUUAUUGCAAAUAUUAAUCUUGAACGAGGAAUUCCUAGUAAGCGCAAGUCAACAGCUUGCGUUGAUUACGUCCCUGCCCUUUGUACACACCGCCCGUCGCUACUACUGAUUGGAUGUUUAAGCGAGGUUCUCGAACUGCUAGCGACUUAGCUUCGGUGAGGUCGCAGUGUGGGAAGUGAACCGAGCUUUGGUGUCUAGAGGAAGUAAAAGUCGUAACA